rnacentral:lncRNA from 10 species
GCCAGGCCUCAGAGUUCUUUUUUACAAUGAUUGGACUGUCAUCUCUUCCCACUUGUUUGUUCCAGUUUUAGCUCGUCAGGUUGACUUAUUUGGAGGUUCAAGAUAAUUGACCACUAAGUCUGGUUCUGGAGAAGUUGGGUUUCCACAUGCCUUACAGCUUGGAACGUGCUUCCUUGGGGAUUUCAUGUUCAUAUCAAUGACUGAUUUGGAAUUCGGAUUUGCCUUUGAAUGUUGGAGAGCAUGGAAUCAUGCAAGGAUCAGCAGACAGAUCCUGGGUGGUGAUCCGUGAUGUCCAGCUACACAAAAGAAAUGAAUGUCUUUUUUUCCCAAAAGAUGAUGUAUUACAAGAGUCACUACUAAAUCAGCAUCUACGUCAACCAAAUACAACCUCUAAAAGAAAAACAAAUAGGAUGAUAUUAAUCCUGGAGAGUUUUAUUUUGUUUAUAAUUUGGGAUAAUUAAGCUUUGAAGUUUCAUGUUUACUCUUUGAGGAAAGUGUGUCUGGGCUUUACCUCAUUUCCUCCAACCCUCUCUCCCUCUCUGCUCCAGAGACCCAGUGUUCUUUCAGCAACUUGAAAUGUGUUUUCUCUUCCACAGAGAAUAGCAAAUGCUAUUUCUACAAAUGGGAUUCUACCUCUCCCUCUCCCUCUCUUCCAGUCUCAUGUUCUGUUUCAUUUCCUCAGGGACUGCUGCUUUACGACUCCAUGGACUGGGUUGCACCCCCCAUUGCUCCCUCUGCCUUCUACUCUACUUUCCCAGUAUUCAAGACACUCAGAAUCCUCUUUAAUGCCUGUCUUUUUCUGAUUAUAAGCAACAUAAGAACCUGCCACACUGGUUUUAUUCACCAAUGGAUCUCUAGUGCCUUAUUACACAAUAAAUACUUUUUGACUAAGUAUUGUUUGAGGAAAAUGUUAUUUCCGGCACAGAGAAAAUAAUAGCAGAGGCAUGAAGAUAUGAAAGUGUGUGGCAUGUGUAAGGGAAUAUUAAAUUAAAAAUGGAUGUUUUCUUUAAGUAAAUGGUUAUCUCUUUCCUAUGUAACUUAAUUCAACUUUACCAUAAUUAAUUUUUAAACAAAUGAAUUCAAUGUGAAAUUAAGCUAAAAUUAACUUACAUUUAUAUUUAUGGAGGUAAAAAUUUAAGCCUAUAUUGCUCAUAGUAUCCUUUUUGUUGUGUAAUUU